rnacentral:lncRNA from 1 species
GAAACAGGAAACGUAUCAGGUUAAUAUUUUAAUCUGUACAUCACAUUUUUUUUGCAAACCAUUACAUUUUUAAAUUAACUUUUUCUUGCAAAAUAUUCAUUUCAUUUUUUCCAAGAAAAUCUUAUAAAGGCAAAAAUAAAAUUUUAUUUUGGCAAAUGUCAUGAAGUCGAUACUGGCAGCAUAUGGAGUUAGUUAAAAAUAGACAACAACUGCUAGAUAUAUUCAAAAUUCUAUUUUUUUUUCUGAGCAUAGUCAAAGAGAAAUUUUCAUUUAAAGUGUGGCUCCACCCAAUGGAGGUUUUCGUUGUUGUUGUUUUUUCCAUUUAAACGUCAUUGUUUAUAUGCAGAAUAAUAUAAGAAAACAACUUAAAUAAAGGGCCACAAACACUGCACCUGGCUUGGUAGCCCCCCUCCUCAUGUGGGGCUGGAAGUCAAAUCAAAGUCCUGCCAUUAUGGCCCUGCUGGCGGCAGGCCAUGAGGGAUGGGAUUUCUAGGUAGAUGUCACCCAGUGUGGAGUUUAUUGCUACGAUACAAUGAAAGUUGCUUCCUCUCACCUUUUCUGUAUUUCAAUGUGUACUGUUAAAAAUGAAAGCAGGCUGGGCGUGGUGGCUCACGGCUGUAAUCCCAACACUUUGGGAUGCUGAAGCGGAUGAAUCACCUGAGGUCAGGAGUUCGAGACCAACCUCACCAACAUGAAGAAACCCCCGUCUCUACUAAAAAUACAAAAUUAGCCGGGCGUGGUGGCACAUGCCUGUAAUCCUAGCUACUUGGGAGGCUGAGGCAGGAGAAUCACUUGAACCCAGGAGGCAGAGGUUGCAGUGAACCGAGAUCGUGCCAUUGCACUCCAGCCUGGGCAACAAGAGUGAAACUCCAUCUCAAAAAAAAAAAAAGAUAGCAAACUGCUUUUUUCUUUCUGACAAGAGCCUUUUGCUGGAGGAAGCCUGGGGGCAGGUUGUGGGCCCCAGUCCUCUUGAAC